rnacentral:rRNA from 1 species
AUGGCGGCGCGGCAGAGCGGGCAGGACGGCGUGUUGCGGAGCCACGCGUCGACGCAGGCGGCGUGGAACGCGUGCCGGCACGCCGGGAGCAGCCGCAGCUCGGCGUCGGGCACGAACGGCGACAGGCAGACGGCGCAGUCCGGGGAGCUCUUGGGCAGCGCAGCCAGCGCCGACGCCAUCGUGAAGAGCGGAAGCGACGCGAUCAGCCGCUCCUUCUCGUCGUCGACCACCUCGCCCCCUGUUGCCGCUGCUGCGGGGCCCGCCGCGGGUGUCGCCGAAGGGGCGGCCGCCUCGGCGUCGGAGCGGGAGGAGGCGCCGAGUCCCCUGGAGACAGCACUCGGGGCCGGAGAAGACGUUUGCCGCGAGGAGAGGCAGCGGAGGAGGAAGUGGAUGGAGAUGGAGGCGCAGAAGACGAAGGCGAGGAGCGCGGCGAUGAUGAGGAGCGACGGGGAGAGGUUGAGCGAGGAGGAAGGUGGCGGAGGCGGCGACGGCAAUGACGGCGGGAUGGUGACGGCAAGGGGGUCCCCGGCGUACGGCGGCGCGGGCGGCGGGAGGGAGUCCAUGGUGGGCCGCGGGCGGAGAGGCAGGAGGAGAGCGCGUGUUUAA